GGAGUUGUAGCUCAGUGGUAGAGCACUUGCCUUGUAUGUGUAAGACACGGUGUUUGAUUCCCAGCACCA
rnacentral:tRNA from 1 species